rnacentral:misc_RNA from 1 species
UCUCCGUAGGUGAACCUGCGGAAGGAUCAUUAACGAAAUAGAAAACCUUCGUAAUCCGGCGGGGUUCGGUGUAGUUGCUUAGGCUGUCAACACAGAGAGAAAUCGCGCGAGGCUGUGCGGGGCGCGCGGGGGGCUCGAGAGACUCUUGUUUUUUUCUACGCCGACUUCUGAGUGGCAUUUAUUACUAAUAAAUUGAAACUUUCAACAAUGGAUCCCUUUGUUUUGGUAUCGAUUAAUAACGUAUCCGAUCGUCAUAGCACACGUAUGAACUCCAAUCAC